rnacentral:rRNA from 1 species
CCUACGGGAGACAGCAGUAGGGAAUUUUCGGCAAUGGGGGGAACCCUGACCCAGCCACGCCGCGUGAACGAAGAAGUUAUUCGUAAUGUAAAGUUCUUUUAACAGGGAAGAAAGAGAAAUUUGACGGUACCUGAAGAAUAAGCCCCGGCUAACUACGUGCCAGCAGCCGCGGUAAUACGUAGGGAGCGAGCGUUAUCCGGAAUUAUUGGGCGUAAGGGGUGCGUAGAUGGCAUAGUAAGUCUUUUGUAAAAAUGCUGGGCUCAACCCAGUAGGGCAAAAGAUACUGGAAAGCUAGAGUAUGACAGAGGCAAGUGGAACUACAGGUGUAGCGGUAAAAUGCGUAAAUAUAUGUAAGAACACCAGUGGCGAAGGCGGCUUGCUGGGUCGAUACUGACAUUGAGGCACGAAAGCGUGGGGAGCGAACAGGAUUAGAUACCCCAGUAGUC